UCGCACCUAUCAUUUUUGGGCUCGCCAAAGCAGAUGACAAAUUCGCUGGUUCAACAGCAUGGGUAUCCAAUGCAGGAUAUCUGGAAUUAGUUGGCAUCAUUUGUGUCUAAGAUGAAACAUGGCCGAAUUGCAAUUGACAGCCACUCAGCAAGUGAAAAGCACAAGGGAAAGAUGAAAAAAAGAGAAUACUUAUGGAACUUGGUUCAUUAAUGUUUCUAGAAAUCAUGCAGAUUAAAGCAAGGGACCUUCACUCAAUAUGGAGAAUUAACUUGCAAACGCUGGUGAUCCACAAAAAGUGUCUACUAGACCAACUCCAGAACACAAAAAAUGCAUAGUCUUGUUACGCGAUAUGUUGCUGCCUAUUUGAUAAGAGGCGAAGUCUCCUAAGCGGAAAUUAUAUUGUGUCUAUAGGCAGCAUGCAAACACGUCAUUCAGUUGUAUUUGUACUGCAAAUGUAAUAUACAUACUUCUGAAAAUGUUUCCAAAUAGUCAAAUUGCGCGAUAGUGCGAUAAUAUGCGUUCUAGCUUCUUAUUUUCAUGAUGAUGUCCUGGAUGAAAAUAGGAAAACGUGAAUCUUUCGUUUUUGCUUUUUCAUGAAAACCUGAACAAAUUGUCUCAGAUUGCGCAAAUGGAUAUUUAUUUACGUUUCUGAAGCAUCGUCUCCGACAAAGUUUCUCCGCGGUACUUCAACUCAUUAUUUCUAUAAAAAUGUACUGUUCCAUAUGUUUUUAAAGACAUACCUUCUCGAAAGAGCGAUUGCUGAAUGAGGUGUAAAAAUACAUCAAAACUAAAAAAUGCUCAGAAGGCAUCAGAAGGGAUUAAAAAGAAGUUAAUUCUUGCAAAUAUGACUUUCUUGUCAAAGAUCUAAAUGAUAAGUUAAUGUCAGCAAAACAGUAGUUUUUUUAUCAUUUAGCGAAUAUUUAUGAGCGAUAUUGCGAUAUUAUAAUCAAAGAAUAAAUAUCUACCAUAGGUCAGUACCAAUUUCCUCACAAUUGUUAACUGUCUGCCUUCUUAGAUCAGAUUCUACUUAGAUCAGAUACAGGAUGCAGGCGACUUGAAAGCUUUCUGAAUAACCGAGAAACUGAUCUUAAAUACAAAUGAGACAAAUAAAAAUUCGAGUGAAAAGAAAACUGACUGCCCAAGUUCAAAAACUGAAAAAAGCAACAACUUUUAGUCAAAAAACAAAAAUAGCUAAAAUCUCUUGAAGAAGAAAUAAACUUACUCCAGAUAAGCAGGCUGCCACGUAGAUCGGUCUAAUGGAGAAAUCAAGAUAUAUUAAAAAUUAUUUUUUCAAGGAAUUUACUAUAGCCAUUUAAACAAAUAUUAUUGUCCUGGGAUACAAUUAAAAAUGUCCUGUGGGCAGGUUUCGAACACUUCCAGGGCCGACCUCGAAUCCCAAGCAGCCAUGAUUUGUUGUAAUAGUAAUAUGUAGAAUAUGCUAGUUAACAUAAAAAGCUUUAUAAUAUUUAUGUUUUUGAUAUUUGAUUACUAACUUAAUGCGUAAUAUAUGAUACAUGUUCGAUUUAUUUAACAAGAAACUAUAAAAAAAGUUUAAAUUGUUUAAUAAAAAUUUACAAA